UAUUGAACGCAUAUUGCGGCCACGGGUCCGUCCUGUGGCCACGCCCGUCUGAGGGUCGGCGACGUUGUACCCAUCGCUGGGAGGCUCUCGCCCAGCGCCUUGAGAUUUCGGAGGGCUCUAGCUCCUCCGUGGCUUGAAAUGCAGACCCGGUCAGACCUAUAUACAGGGCCGAACUUCUUUGCCUUGYCUCGCUGAAAGCCCUAAGCGCUAAGGAGAAGCGCUUUCAAGUCCUCAUGCGAGCGAAGGACAUGGCUUGGAUUCUCACUCAUGUCUUCGGYYGGCKGCGGAGGCGCUGCAGCUGCUGCAGCUGCUGCUGGGCGGUGAUCAGUUUGGCAGGCUUCACAUUUCCGACCUCAGAUCGGACGAGAUUACCCGCUGAAUUUAAGCAUAUCA
rnacentral:rRNA from 1 species